UACCCUACGGGACGCAGCAGUAGGGAAUUUUCGUCAAUGGGCGCAAGCCUGAACGAGCAAUGCCGCGUGAACGAGGAAGGUCUUCGGAUCGUAAAGUUCUGUUGAAGGGGAAAAAGAGCGGAGAGAGGAAAUGAACUCCGAUUGAUAUUACCCUUCGAGGAAGUCACGGCUAACUACGUGCCAGCAGCCGCGGUAAUACGUAGGUGGCAAGCGUUAUCCGGAAUGAUUGGGCGUAAAGGGUGCGUAGGCGGCCUGCUAAGUCUGGUGUGAAAGGUACCGGCUCAACCGGUACAGGCUCUGGAAAA
rnacentral:rRNA from 1 species